AUGGCAGCAAUGGAGGCAGGCAAUGCUGCCGCCCGCCCGCAGGUGGUGCGCUGCUGCAGUGGCGCGGUGGCGUACGGGUACGACGACGAGUACGACCACGGCAUGGAUUACGCACCCCCGCCGCCGGCGAGCGUGGGGGCAAGGCCCGAUCAGUACGUGUACGGUGAGUACGACGAGGACUACAAGGUGUUUCCUGCGCCUGGUCCGGGCACUGUGAUCGAGUCCACCGGCCAUGGCUACACGAUCGUGCCAAUGGAGACUACGUGUGACGGCAAUGGCGCGGUGUCAUAUGGGUAUGCCGACGAGUACGACCACGGCAUGGAUCACACACCCCCGCCGCCGGCGAGUGGCGUGGCGGCGAGGCCCGAUCAGUACGUGAGGCCCAACCAGUACAUGUACGAUGAGUACGAGGAGGACUACAAGGUGUUUCCUGCGCCUGGUCCGGGCACUGUGAUCGAGUCCACCGGGCAUGGCUACAUAAUCGUGCCGAUGAAGGCGACUUGUGACGGCAAUAGUGUGGUGCCGCCGGUCUACGAUGAUCGUGCGGAUGGUCAGUACGUGAGGCCCAAUCAGUACGUCUACGGUGAGUACGACGAGGACUACAAGGUGUUUCCUGCGCCCGGUCCGGGCGCUGUGAUCGAGUCCACCGGCCAUGGCUACAUGAUCGUGCCAAUGGAGACUACCUGCGACGGCAAUGGUGCGGUGCCGCCGGUCUACGAUGAUCUGUUCAAGUGUAUUGCGAGGCUCGCGGCCGUUAUGUCUAGAAUCUCCAAAGCUACUUAA
rnacentral:rRNA from 1 species